AGAUUGUCGCCCCGAAGAAGAGGCGAUAAGUCGCCAGGCGACUAAAUCUCCCCAAAUCUGCCCAUGUGCCCCUGCCUUUAGGAGUGAAUCCACCAGUUCUAUCCUUGCUUUAGGAAUGGCAAUCUUUUCAGGCAAAAAACAAAUGCAUAUUGGUCCUGAAAUUGGUCACUCACAGAAGAGUCCUGUGCAGGUCCAUUUUUUGGGAUCCGGACCUGCAACUCGCAUUCUUACCCGCUUGGACCCGCAACCUGACCCGCAAGUACCUUAUCCGCAACCCAGACCCGCGCCCCGCUGAUCAUCAAGAAUCAGGAAGUGCUGUCAUUGUAAACCGGAAGUGACCUCAUCAGAAGUAGACAGACCAGUCAAAAGAAGUAAAUAUCGCUUUUGAGAAGACCUGCGGCCCGACCCGCGACCUGCAAACCCGCAGGACCGCAGACCCGCGUCUAUACCCACAACCGGAACUUCUGUCUGCAACCCGCAGGGCCUGUGAGGAAAGAGCAGAGCCCAAGACAGGAACACGCUGGGUCAAACCAAGGAUCCGUCCCACCGAUGCUGAGAUGCCAAGGCGGAUAACAGGAAUAGAAAGAAUCUCGGAGCAUGCAGACUCCAAACCUUCUUCCAGGUUGACGAGGUGCAGUCUCAGAUAAACAAUAUGGAGAAGGAGCUACGCAACAAAGAAGAAAGAAUAAAUUCUUUGAAAAGGGAGGAGUCUCUUCACAAUACCUUGUAAAGUCUUUCAGCGGCUAACCUUCGGGAAAAGACGGUCACCCAGCUAAAGAAGCUUGCAGAGGUUUCAACUUAAGAUAUUGCACACAAGGAGGAGGAGCUACAGAAAAUUGUACUUGAACUGCAAAGGACUAGCAACAGUGUAAAGGAGAAAGAAAGGAGGCCCAUCUCACCUGCAGGCCAUGCAAUUCAACCUCUCCAGCUAUUUCUGAACAAGAAUGAUUUUCCCUUGGCUGAGUGAUUGCUCAUGUAUCAGCCCAUCUCUGGACAGCUUUAGGGCAACAACACACAGGGUGCUUUGUCGCCUACAGGAAUGCAGCACUCCCACAUAGGACAAAGUGGCUGAAAACUUCAGGAACAAAUCAAGCAACAUGAACAUGUAGAGGAUAUACUUGCAGAAAAGAGGUUAAAAUGCCUUAGGAUGCAGUGUGUUCUACACCAGCUGGAAGAAAAAUAUCUCACCACAGCAGGAGCUUCAGCUGAAAGAAGAACAAAAUCUGAAUCGCACAAAAAGGAUUCCAGAACUCAAAUCAGGGAAAGAAAACGACAGGCAACUUGAACUGACACUUUCACAUUGGAAGAAUCUUGUAUAGGAGGAAAGAACACACUAGAUAAAGAUACUAGAUACCAGGUAAAGGAAGAUCUUGGAAGACAUGCUGUCACGGUCGGCACCCAACACAAGAACAGAUGCCAAGCACCCUGGUCUCGGCUCGACUUCACCAGUUAAGUGACCGCCUUUGGCCUCGGGAGGAGCCCUCGGCGUACUCAGAUGCCACCUGG